rnacentral:rRNA from 1 species
GAUGAACGCUAGCUACAGGCUUAACACAUGCAAGUCGAGGGGUAGCAUGUCGGUUGCUUGCAACCGAUGAUGGCGACCGGCGCACGGGUGAGUAACGCGUAUCCAACCUACCCUUGUCCAUCGGAUAACCCGUCGAAAGGCGGCCUAACACGAUAUGCGGUUCACAGCGGGCAUCUAACGUGAACGAAAUGUGAAGGAGAAGGAUGGGGAUGCGUCUGAUUAGCUUGUUGGCGGGGUAACGGCCCACCAAGGCGACGAUCAGUAGGGGUUCUGAGAGGAAGGUCCCCCACAUUGGAACUGAGACACGGUCCAAACUCCUACGGGAGGCAGCAGUGAGGAAUAUUGGUCAAUGGACGGGAGUCUGAACCAGCCAAGUAGCGUGCAGGAUGACGGCCCUAUGGGUUGUAAACUGCUUUUAUAGGGGGAUAAAGUGUGCCACGUGUGGCAUAUUGCAGGUACCCUAUGAAUAAGGACCGGCUAAUUCCGUG